rnacentral:rRNA from 1 species
AGGCGGACGGGUGAGGAACGCUUGGGAAUCUGCCCAUCAGCGGGGACAACCCGGGGAAACCCGGGCUAAUACCGCAUACGCUCUAUGGAGGAAAGCCGGGGGCCGCAAGGCCUGGCACUGAUGGAUGAGCCCAAGUCGGAUUAGCUAGUUGGCGGGGUAACGGCCCACCAAGGCGACGAUCCGUAGCUGGUCUGAGAGGGCGAUCAGCCACACUGGAACUGAGACACGGUCCAG